rnacentral:rRNA from 1 species
UGGUGGAGUGAUCUGUCUGGUUAAUUCCGAUAACGAACGAGACCUUAACCUGCUAAAUACGGUGGCAAACUGCGGUUUGUGCAGCGUUCUUAGAGGGACUAUGGAUGCGUAAUCCAUGGAAGUUUGAGGCAAUAACA